AAAUAAGUCGUUCUCGGUGUGUAUGGAUGUGUUGAGGGUGUAGGCUAUGUGUGUGAGUUUGUGUGCUCAGUGUGCAUUCAUGUCUGUGCAUCCUUUUUUAAAAGAGGACAAGUAGUUGAGUCAUGUGAUCUUAGUGGUGUGCUGCUAACUAAUAUUCAGUUCUGUUGUCUGUCGAAGAGGGCCAUUUUCUCCACUCAGCCAUUUCAGUAAAGAUGUCUAGGUGUGCUCAAGAUUCUGCACCGUUUACUUGUUUACACUCUUAUAGACCUCGUGACAACCUAUUUUUUGAAGUCAAGGGAAAGGGAGGGAUGACCUACAUACUGUACCUACAACCUCUAAACCAGUAGUCAUAUGGCUUAUGAGAUAAAUGAGUGCUAGGAUGCAUCCAGCUGAUCCAUUGAUUGGAGAGGCUGUCAUAGCCUUUAGACAAACAUUGUCCUGUAUUUUGACACCUUUCAGAACCCUAUAUUAACCCAUUUUCAUAAACCAUGAUCCUAUUCUGUAAUAGUUUAACAUCACUUCCGUUGCUGUACAGCCACAGUUUGAUGGACAUAAUCAUAAUGGACAAUAUGUCAAUCCAUGACUCAAAAUGACAGUGUUUUAUUCUGACAGGGUCCUCUAAUUCCCAUCAGCUAAGAUAUCUGAGUCAAGCGUAGUACCCUGCUGUAUAAUGAUUACAGGGUUCUUUUAUGUUUAUUAAAAAAGAGAGAAAAUCAAAUGAUGGAUUGCCAAAAAGGAAUGUACGAAAUGUUCAGCGGGCAAUAUAGUACACAUUUUAUUAUUUGUCCAACAUUAUGCAUUAUGUUAUGCAUCCAUUUGUCAAAAGAUGUUAGUCAUAAUACCAAAUCCUUUAUUUGUAAAUGGGUGUAGUGUCUAUACUGUUGCUCUUUUGUACUUUCCUCCAUUUAUAGAUCAUUUCUAAAUGUUUAUACUUGAUUUUCAGACUGCCUUUUUUAGUGUAUUGAGAUUUAUUCUUACUGUAAACAGUGCAAGCAUUCUCCAUGGUGUCCUCAAGAUAAGAUGUUUAAGUCUGCGGUUAUGUGCUUGCUCUGUGAAUCAAAGAUACAAAACAAAUAUAUAAAUCAUUAUUUAUGGUGUGUGUGUGCAUGUGCA
rnacentral:lncRNA from 1 species